rnacentral:rRNA from 1 species
UACGUAGGCAGCGAGCGUUGUUCGGAGUUACUGGGCGUAAAGAGUGCGUAGGCGGCCAACUAAGUCGGACGUGAAAUCCCCAGGCUCAACCUGGGAACUGCGUCCGAUACUGGAUGGCUUGAAUCCGGGAGAGGGAUGCAGAAUUCCAGGUGUAGCGGUGAAAUGCGUAGAUAUCUGGAGGAAUACCGGUGGCGAAGGCGGCAUCCUGGACCGGCAUUGACGCUGAGGAGCGAAAGCCAGGGGAGCAAACGGG